UGGUUUGAGAGGUUGAAGCUGCCAGCAUGAUCUGGUAAUUCAGACGACCAUAAUCUAUUUCCUUCUCUCAGAUGGUUGGACGCUAUAUUUGAAAGGAUUUGGGCUUUGUUUAGUUUCAUCAGGUCAUCUAGCAGCUUCAAUCACUCACCAA
rnacentral:pre_miRNA from 1 species